rnacentral:rRNA from 1 species
GUUAGCAAACUGAAACAUCUGAGUAGCUGAAGGAAGGAAAAUCAACCGAGACCCCGUUAGUAGCGGCGAGCGAGAGCGGAACAAGGGUUUUCAUCAAAAGAAAUCCGAAGCGGUUUCAUUCGAUUUGUUGUGGAUUGGAUGAUGGAAAAACCAGCAAGCAAAAAGCAUAGUUAGAAAAGUUGUCGUAGCGCGCCCUACGGAGUUGUACAAAGUCAGCAACCGUUUUGGGGCGCAAGCAUAGGCAACACAGGACUGAUGACGGGGUGGGGCGCGCAGUGAACUGGUUUUCUAAAAAGAUUGGAAGAUCCGGCCAAAGAAGGUGAUAGCCCUGUUCAUUUGUUCCCAUGGUUCGAUCCUUCCCAGUAAAACGCGGCGUGUUCGAAUGAUGAUCGCUUUUACGCGAGAAAGGGGGACCACCCUCUAAGCCUAAGUAUUCCUCAAUGACAUAGCAUACAAGUACCGUGAGGGAAAGGUGAAAAGAACCCCAAUCGGGGAGUGCAAUAGAGAACCUGAGAUCCGAUGUGAACAAUCAG